AUACGUAGGGGGCGAGCGUUGUCCGGAAUGAUUGGGCGUAAAGGGCGCGUAGGCGGCCCGGUAAGUCUGGAGUGAAAGUCCUGUUUUUAAGAUGGGAAUUGCUUUGGAUACUGUCGGGCUUGAGUGCAGGAGAGGUAAGUGGAAUUCCCAGUGUAGCGGUGAAAUGCGUAGAGAUUGGGAGGAACACCAGUGGCGAAGGCGACUUACUGGGCCGUAACUGACGCUGAGGCGCGAAAGCGUGGGGAGCGAACAGGAUUAGAUACCCUGGUAGUCCACGCGGUAAACGAUGAAUGCUAGGUGUUGCGGGUAUCGACCCCUGCAGUGCCGGAGUAAACACAAUAAGCAUUCCGCCUGGGGAGUACGGCCGCAAGGUUGAAACUCAAAGGAAUUGACGGGG
rnacentral:rRNA from 1 species